rnacentral:lncRNA from 1 species
AUGGGGAGAAGAAUUCCUGGGAUUGUUCCGCUGAGUGGAGCGAUGGGGAGACGAUGGGCCAGGAUUAUCCUGUUGUGUGCAGCAUCGAGGGGAGGAAGUUCCAGGGUUGUCCCGCCGAAAGGAAGAUUGUGGAUUGUCUCGUUGAGUGUAAGAGGUUCUAGGGUUAUUCCAUUGCGUACAAGAGGUUUUAGGGUUGUCUCGUUGGGUAGAAGGAGUUCUGGGGAUGUUCUGUUGAAUACAAGAUGUUCUGGGAUUUUCCCGUUGAGUGGUUCUGUUGGGAGAGGAGGCUCUGGGAUUGUCCCAAUGGGCACAAGAUGUUCUAGGGUUGUCCCGAUGGGUGGUUCUGCUGGGAGAGGAGGCUCUGGGAUUGUCCUGCUGGGCACAAGAUGUUCUAGGGUUGUCCCGCUGGGUGGUUCUGUUGGGAGAGGGGGCUCUGGGUUUGUCCCGCUGGACACAAGAUGUUCUGGGGUUGUCCUGCUGGGUGGUUCUGUUGGGAGAGGAGGCUCUGGGAUUGUCUUGCUGGGUACAGGAUGUUCUAGGGUUGUCCCGCGGGGUUGUUCUGUUGGGAGAGGAGGCUCUGAGAUUGUCCCGCUGAGUGCAGGAUGUUCUAGGGUUGUCCCGCUGGGUGGUUCUGUUGGGAGAGGAGCCUCUGGGCUUGUCCUGCUGGGUGCAGGAUGUUCUAGGCUUGUCCCACUGGGUGAUUCUGUUGGGAGAGGAGGCUCUGGGAUUGUCCCGCUGGGUGCAGGAUGUUCUAGGGUUGUCCCGCUGGGCGGUUCUGUUGGGAGAGGAUGUUCUAGGGUUGUCCCGCUGGGCAGUUCUGUUGGGAGAGGAUGUUCUGGGGUUGUCCCUCUGGGGAGUACAAGUGGAAAAAGAAGUCUGAGGGUUGUCCUGUUGGAUAGAAGAGGUUCUGGAGUUGUCUUGUUGGAUGGCUCUAGUCGGAGAAGAAACUCGAGGAUUGUUUCGUUGGAUGGAGGAAGUUCUGGGGUUAUCCCGUUGGGCAACUCUUGAGGGAGAGGAUGCUCUGGGGGUGUUGCGCUGUGUGAAAGAGGUCCUGGGGAUGUCUUGUUGGAUGGAGGAGGUUCUGGGCUUGUCCCGUUGGGCGAUUUGUGUGGGAGAGGAGGUUCGGGGGGUAUUGAACUGUGCAGAAGCAGUCUGGGCAGCAUCCCUUUGGGCAGAAUGAUGAAGAGAGGAAGCCUGGGGGGUGGCACUUCGAGGUCCGCUCUGCAGUGUCGCACAGGAAGCCUGGGUUAGCGCCGACCGGUGCCGCUCCAAGAAGUGCCCACUUUCUCCCCGGAGUUUCGCCCAGUGCUGUCCAGCACUUCGGCUCCCACUGCAGGUGUCUGGAGAGAGGAGAGGCUGGUUCAAGGUAAGAGGAGGGGUCUCACACACUACCUCUCUUUGUCCCCUGGGACAGAUAAUUAAGGCAGAGCCUACAGCCCCUUCUUAGAGGACCCGCUGCCCACACCAAAUGACUCCACCCCUUGGAAGGAGUUUGAUUGGAGGAGGCUUAAAGGCCUCUCUCAAGCUGAGGCUGAGAAUUCGAAAUUGAAACCCCACCUGACUCAGUCACUGGGAGGUAGUUUUCUGAGCCUGAAGGGACUGGGAGUCCCCGGACAAAUUCGUAGAGAGCAAUUUUCACAAUAGCCCAUGGGACCCGAGAAGAUGAGAGGCGAGUCUAGCAGCAGCUACCUAGCAACUUCCCUUUCUCUAUUCUACUUCCUGCAGAUGGGUUCUGAGAAAUUCCCCCAUCUCUUCUAAUGAGGCUCUUUCAUGUGUGAUAGCUCUAGAAAGCUCCCAUUCCUGACUCCCAGAGAGGCUCCUGCCCCAGCAGCGCCCGUUGGAGCUACCAUGAGCAUGGAAUAGGCUUUUGUGAACCUGCAGCAUAGGCCUCACCUGGGAGUUUGCUAGAAAUGCAGAUUCUCGGGCCACCACCCCACCACCCCCGCAUCGAAUCUACAUUUUAAUAAGAUUCCUGGGUGAUUGCAUGCACAUUACUGUCUAAGCAGCC